rnacentral:rRNA from 1 species
GCAUAUCAUAGCGGAGGAAAGAACCACAGGGAUUGCCCCAGUAACGGCGAGUGAAGCGGCAAGAGCUCAAAUUUGAAAUCUGGCCUCCUCCGGGGGUCCGAGUUGUAAUUUGCAGAGGAUGCUUCGGGUGCGGCCCCCGUCUAAGUUCCUUGGAAUAGGACGUCAGAGAGGGUGAGAAUCCCGUCUUUGGGCGGGCGGCCCGCGCCCGUGUGAAGCUCCCUUCGACGGAGUCGAGUUGUUUGGGAAUGCAGCUCUAAGCGGGUGGUAAAUUUCAUCUAAAGCUAAAUAUUGGCCGGAGACCGAUAGCGCACAAGUAGAAGUGAUCGAAAGGUUAAAAGCACCUUGAAAAGGGAGUUAAACAGCACGUGAAAUUGUUGAAAGGGAAGCGCUUGCGGCCAGACUCGGGGGCGGGGUUCAGCGGGCGCUCGUCGCCCGUGCACUCCCCGGCGCCCCGGGCCAGCAUCAGUUUCGACGGUCGGUCAAAGGCCCCCGGAAUGUGUCGUCUCUAGGGACGUCUUAUAGCCGGGGGUGCAAUGCGGCCCGUCGGGACUGAGGAACGCGCUUCGGCUCGGAUGCUGGCGUAAUGGCCGUAAGCGGCCCGUCUUGAAACACGGACCAAGGAGUCUAACAUCCACGCGAGUGUUCGGGUGUCAAACCCGUGCGCGCAGUGAAAGCGAACGGAGGUGGGAGCCUUUGGGCGCACCAUCGACCGAUCCUGAAGUCUUCGGAUGGAUUUGAGUGGGAGCGUGGCCGUUGGGACCCGAAAGAUGGUGAACUAUGCCUGAAUAGGGUGAAGCCAGAGGAAACUCUGGUGGAGGCUCGCAGCGGUUCUGACGUGCAAAUCGAUCGUCAAAUUUGGGCAUAGGGGCGAAAGACUAAUCGAACCAUCUAGUAGCUGGUUCCUGCCGAG